rnacentral:tRNA from 1 species
UUCGUAGAUGGUUAGAAUGCCGGCCUGUCACGCCGGAGGUCGCGAGUUCGAGUCUCGUCCGGUCCG